AUGGGAGACAGAGAAGCAGUGUGGUUCCUGUGCUGUGGAAAGAGGUAGAACUGGAGAUACAAGGAUGAUGAGUGUCCAUAAAAUAGGAAACAAUCAGUUGGAUUGGAUUCAUAUUUCAUAUAGAAAAACCUCAAGAAGGAGUUGGCUCAAGGGCAUUUCAAAGCCACAGUCGAUGUCAUUGUAACCGUGUAGAUGAAGGAGUAUGGAUGCUCAUCUUGGAGGUCAGAUGUGGCCUGCUGUGUGUCUUCUCUUGCCUGGUUCUGAUUAGCCAAGGCUCUCUAGGAAGCAUAUUUGGAGCAAGGUGAUUAUAAUGCUCUCAUAGA